UACGUAGGGUGCGAGCGUUAAUCGGAAUUACUGGGCGUAAAGGGUGCGCAGGCGGCCCUGCAAGUCAGGCGUGAAAUCCCCGGGCUUAACCUGGGAAUGGCGCUUGAUACUACAGGGCUAGAGUGUGGCAGAGGGAGGUGGAAUUCCACGUGUAGCGGUGAAAUGCGUAGAGAUGUGGAGGAACACCGAUGGCGAAGGCAGCCUCCUGGGUCAACACUGACGCUCAUGCACGAAAGCGUGGGGAGCAAACAGG
rnacentral:rRNA from 1 species